rnacentral:lncRNA from 1 species
AUGCAGGAAGUAGACCUUAGUUAGUUAAUUCGUGUUUAAUACGCGAAUUAUUCGCGUAUUUUGUAACAUACGAAUUAAACGUCGAUUUUCGUAUUUUUUCAAAAAAUACGAAAAAAAAACACGAUUUUUUCAUCAAAAAUGAUUAUUCGCGAAUUAUUCGCGAUUCGCGAAUAAUUCGCCCAAAAAAUCGGCGACAGCGACGGGCAGCCGAGGGUCGAUUCGUCGCCGAUCUCGUCGCCGCUUGCGUCGUCGCCGCUCUCAUCACCGCCGCUCGCGUCGUCGCCGCUCGCGUCGUCGUCGUCCUCCGCAGCCCUCGCCGGCGGCG